rnacentral:lncRNA from 1 species
AUAUACACAAUGAAAAAAAAAAUAAAGAUAACAAAUAUUUUAAGCGAUUUAUCACAUACUUUGAGCAAUGCAUGUUAAAUCUUACCAUGAAGUUGGAAUUUGGUUCGGAUGCUUCUGGCAGAUGAGUUGUCUAGUUGUCAAAUUCUUAUACAUUUAUUUUACACAGUUGGGACACGAGAUAUACCACCAUUUGUAAUAUUCGUAAUGCGUGUCAAACGUGUUUGAUAAAGGCCUUACAGAGAAAUGUAUCAUUCUGCAAAAACUGUUUGUAAUACUUUUGUAUAAGGAAUAAUAAUCAUCUAUACAAUGUUUAUUCAAAAUGUAAAAAUGCAGUGAUAUGUUUUUAAGAAGAGUUAAAAACAUGUAAUUAAAUUUUAUACCUUGUCUAUGGAUCUAGAAAAGCCACUUCAUCAAUUGUCAAUUGUUUGCCUGUGCGUAAAAUUUCAGCCUCACUUACUUGUCUCGAGGAGGGGUCAAUAUUUUUAUAUAUAGGCUCUUUCUAAUUUGAAAAACCGAUACGAUCGAAAUGUAAAAUUGUUUGAAUAAUUUUAUGAAAUUGAUAUUUCUUUUAUUUUUUAUAACAGUGAAUACAGUUUAAUUGUGUUAAGAGUUAUAAAAAUACUUACACCGACUUGUACACAUUAACUUUUAGGAUGUCUGGAUCAACAAAGAAAAGUGAGCAGCCAGUACUGUUCAUCACAAUUUUAUCUAUGCAUUGAAAAAAUGAUAAGAAGGUGUAAAGAAAAUACUGAUAAAUGGUUUUACUGACAUAGAUCAAGUAUAAGAACGGCAUGACACAAUUACUUACUGCACCAUGAUUUUAAUUGUAAUGCACAAAGUUUAAAAAGCUGAAAAUAAAAGAGAAAAAUAAUUAAUAACAGUGAUUGAGAACCAAUUUAUUAAGGUAUUUGAAAAUUAAUUAAUCAAAUAUAAAAGAAAGAGAUAUGAUAAAUCACAGGAAGUGAAUAUGAUAAAAUUAUGUGUGGAGAAAAGAUUUAAACAAUUUAUAUAAAGCUAUGUUAAAAAAUAAUAGUAAACAAAGAUACGAAAGAUUCGUUCUAACUAAAGCUAAGCACCUAGACAAAGCUGCACUUUUAAGCUUGUAAAAACGACAACAAUUGGGAGAGGCAGCGUUUCGACGAAUGAAGAGCAAAAUUCUUCUGCAUCAUCUGCCCAUAAUGUAAUAGUGAGUUGUUCCCUUCUGCAGGCAAAUCAAAUCAGAAACAAAUAUAUAAUACAAAGCAAGAAAUAAGGAACAACCUAACAUUUUGAAUAUGUAUGUCACACUUGUAUGCUAUCCUUCGAUUAAUAUGUUUUGGCUCUAAACGCUAUACUGCAGUGAGAUGA